rnacentral:misc_RNA from 1 species
AUACUAAAGAGUACAUAGUUAUUAGUUUAUUUUCGGUCAAAAAAAUCAUUUAUUUUCCUUUCUUACGUUUGCUUUUUGUUAUUAUUUGUUGCGUUUUGUUGUAGAAUAUUGUAAAUACAUCGAAAUUUAAUACAUUACAAGUGGGUUACUCCACUCUCCGUUGUGAAAUUAGCUGAAACGAACCAAAAAUGGAUUCAGAUAAAUAUAUUACGAUUGUUCCUGUUGAGUAUCCUCGAAACAGGCAACAGUUCAUACGGCCUCCCGAUGAAUAUAGUGAUUUUCCUCAAAACCGGAAUUGGCCCCACACCAGAGCAGUAAGAACCGAAUCGAGUACUAUGCGUAGGAAAGAAUUGAAACGAUCGUUGGAACACAAAAGAUCUCACAAUCAUUCCCUCAAUGAUCCUAUACAAUCGUGUUCCAAGCCAAUAAUAAGUGCUCCGCUUGCAUUCCAAACAGCUCCAAAACCUAAAAAAAACCCGCUAAGUGUAUAUAUUUAUACAAUGGCUGACAUAGUCUUGCACAUGGAUAUAGAAGAUGCAAACACAACUACAGUAUCAGAUCUUGUUGAUAUUAUAAUACAGCAAAAAAAUUUAGGAUUAUCAAGAAUCGCUAAAAAUAUUUUUACAAUUUGGAUGAAAUCAAAUGUUUUAGAAAUUCAAUUAAAACCACAACAUAAAUUAUUGACAGUAUUUCAAAAAUGGUCCUCACUUGAAGAAAAAUAUUGCAUUCAAACCAAAAAAAUUAUUUUCAAGGAACCAAUUUUGAGUUUUCAAAGAAAUGUGUUUUUUCCUAGAAAAGACGAGGAAAAAAUUAAGGACCAAAAAAUUAUUGAGUUAUUAUACGCCGAAGCUAAGUAUAAUGUAUUACAAGGUCGGUAUCCUGUUGAAGUUAAUCAUUGUUUAAUGUUAGCUAGUUUGCAAUGCCGAAUAGAAUUAGGUCCAAAUAAUUUACAACAAUACACCUCAAGUUUUUUUAGAGACAACCGGGAAAGAUUUUUACCAUCCCAUUUAUACAAAAGCUGGUCAUCGUGGUUAAAUCUUGAUAGAAAAAGUACACCACAUUCUCGGCUUGCAGAUCAUUUAAAACAUAUACAAAUAACUGGAUCUGAUCGUAGACUUUACCACAAGUAUUUAGAGUGCUGUUACAUGCUACCAUUUUAUGGGUGUGCUUUUUUCCAUGGUCAAAUAGAACAACCUGUUCGAGGUUUGAUGUCUUUAAUUAACCAUAAAGAUGUUCCUAUUUAUAUUGCAGUCAACACCGAAGGAGUUUAUAUUUUAGAUUGUGUGGAAAAUAGUUUAUUGUUGGGCCUUAAGUAUCAAGAUUUUUCAUGGGAAUUUGCUAAGCCAUCUCAAGAAGAUAAUGAUCAUUGUUUACCGUGUAUAUUUCUUCAGUUUUUAGUAUUAGAAAAUGGAACAAGAGUUUCAAAAAUUUUACAAGUAUUUUCUAAACAAGCUGUUAUGAUAGAUGCUCUAAUUGCGUGUUUUGUCGAAGAUUUUAGACACAAAUUAGCUAUGAAUGAAUAUGACGAUGUAGAUAGAACUGGCGGUUUUGAACAUAUUUCUGUUGGAGAUGGAUCUCAAAUACCGUUGGCACAUUUGUUCCGUAGCGAACCACAAUCUCGAUUAUGUAAUAAACUAAAUAAGUUGACUCUGGCUACAUUUGAUGAAGAUGCAUGUAAUCAUCACUUAGAAAGUUGCUAAUACUAUAAUUUAUUUUGAUCAUACACAAUUAUGCAUGGUUUGUAAACUAUUUAUGAAUUUAAUCUACUACAAUGAACUGAAGUCAUUGUAUUGGACAAAUGGGAUCUUGGUCAUUCAGCUACUGAAAGUGGACACUUAAUAUAAUAUACUCUUUUUCUAUUGAUCUCUAUGCAGCCAUCCUUUAUUUAAAAUCACUUUUCUUCUGUUUCUUAUCAUUGAAUACCAUUGUAUUAAGAUAUAAUACAUAUGAUUACCUUAACCUAGUCAAUUUUGUUUAGUUAUGUUUAGUUGAAUCUUAAAUAAGUUAAUAUUUUUUAAGUAUAUAUAUUUUUUAUUAGUAUUCAUUGAUCUUGUUUAUCAAGGAUUCGAUAACAAACAUUUUAAUGUCUAUGUUGGACAACUCAUUAAAAGUUUUUGUUUCUGAGCAUUGUAGUACAUUUCCAGCCAGAGUUUAUUUUGUCCUUAGUAUAAUACCAAAUAGUUAUUAUAAUUUUAACUAUAUUUUUUAUUAUUUUUUUAUUUGUUAUUUUAUUAAAUUACCAACUUUAGAGAUGUUUUCUUUUGAUGUAGUACUCAUUGACUUAUAUUGCUUACAUACAUUUCAUAAAGUUAUUAAUUAUGAUACAAAACUUUAUUUUAUUCAACAUAAAAAGCGAUCCGGGUGGUUGACUCGUGUCUAGUCUAGCAUUGUUCUGUUGUCUUGUAUAUUGGCUACUUGGGAUUAAUUAAGUAGGAAAAUAAUUGUGAGUGACCGGUAAGAAAUUGACAAAAACCUGUCACUGCUUUGGUUGCCCUUAUGUUAAAUAGAAUAUCAUUACUAAUAUGAAUCUUACUAUUAUUCACUUUUAUAUUUGUAUUUCACAUAUCUAUAUCAAAUUUUUGAUAUAAUCUUUUCAAUUGUCAAAAUUAUUUCAUCUACAAAGUUAAUAUGAUAAGUAUUUACAAAUUUAAUGAACGGUUUUUAACUUUAAAAAUAUUCUAAUAAUUAUAUAUUUGUAAUUCUAAAUGUCGUAGAAUUACAUUAUUAUUAUUAUUUUAUUGUGGUAUUACAGCUGUGAUUGGAACUUUCACCAAAUUAUUAUUCAUUAUAUAACCAUAAAUUGUAUGUUGGUAUUACUUGUGCAUUACAGUCGUAUAUAAAUUAAUAUUCUUUAAAUGUUUGUGUAAUGUCUAAAUUAAGUGUUUGGAACAAAUAUUUAAGAAAUUUAAAAUUUGUAAUUAAAAAAAAAAAUUGUAAGUAAUUUAUUGAUAAAACUACGUGUAUUAAAUAAAGUAAAAACAACCAUUGUUACAAUACCCAAGCUAGACUGGGUAAUGUAUAAUUUUUCCCAUGUUACCAUUACAAUUGCCAGAAAAUGUACAAAUUACCUGAUAGUCCUUAAUAUAUUUGCCCUAUACAGAAGAUUGAUUGUGCAAUUUAUUUUACAUAGUCCUAAUCUUAUCACUAUUCCAAUUUUUAUGGAAGAUUAUUUCUAAUACAUUAAUUAAACAUAUUACAAUAUGACAUGUAUUAUAUUGUUAACACUAAAUGAGAUGUAUUAGUAUAACAUUUUAAAAACCGUGAAUUAUAUUUUAAAUGUACCAAUUUCUUAAAUUUGAAAGCUAAUGCAGACAAUAGAUAUAUUAUAAAUUAUUUAAGAAGUUAAAUAAUCAAAAUUUCCAUUUACUACUGGUUGAUAUAAAAUGUGAUGCUUCCUAAACUUGUUAAUUUUUUUUUA